GGAAGGAAGCCAUCUAUCUCAGUGGCUAAAGAGUUGUUUCCUGAAGGUGAUGUGCAGGAGGACAUAGUGAUUUAGGGUAUUUUUGACUAGGAGGAUAACUUUUCCCCAAACCAAAUAUUCAUGCAUUUCCAAAUAGAGAUGUAGUUAAAAGGGUGUGAUAUAAAUGUGAGAGCAUUUCCUUUGACAAAAAUAAACUACUGCUGAGAGACAGUUGGUUUAGGUAAACUUAAUCUGAGACUGCAGAAUUCUGGGGAGUAACUGACAAGGUAAAGAAAGCUCCAGACCUGGGCAACAUUCCUACCCCAACAGUCAAACCUAGAGUAAAGGAAUAUUGGAAGUUGAACCCAUGAUGUCUUAGAGGUUUACAAAUGGAUUGUACUCAGUCACAUCUGAGCACCAUGGCAGACCACCCACCUGCAGGAUCAGUACACCUGCCUUAAAAAACCAACUGCAAUGAAAUACUUUUGAAUGGAGAAGCAUCUGGAAAUUGAGGAUAUCAGAGAAACUGCUUGCUGGUGCAGAGAGGAGACCAAUUACGCCUGAGGAAACAGAACCCGCAAAUAACCAAAUGACUGCUCUGUGGGAACCCCAGGCUAACCACAAUUUUCAUGAGCUAACCUGACCACAAGAUGACACCCAUGUUAUCUGCUGGAGAUAGCCUGAUCAAAAACACUACUGUUGUGGAGAUGAUUCUUAUCUCCUAUAAUACCUGUACCUUUCCUCUGUCCAACCAUUAAAGGAAGCAGUUGCCUAAGGAUGUAUUAUAUGCAGGUCCAGAUGCUAAAGAAUACACUGCUGAGUUGGAGGUGGGAUUCAAUACUCAAGAAUUCUUGGUGUUCUCAGGGACACUUCCCUGCCCCCUGCUUACUUGUGUGCACUGAGCAUCUUCGGCCCCCAACAUGAUACCCACGUGGAAAAGGAUGACAUCGAGCAAAGAGCAUAUGUGGAAGCUUGUUCUCCCCACAACACACCCUCAGCUGCUUUUGACUCCAAAGUUUAAAGAGAGAAGACUUGCUUCCAAUGGCUGGCGCCACCCUCCGCAUCCACAUCCCAGAUUCAUAGAGAGGUGCACAGGAAGGAGGAAAGCAGGUGGCUUUCUAGGGGAACAAGAUGACACAGGCAUAGGAAAUUAAAUGGUAGUGAAUGAGCAAUGUUAAAACCUAGAAGAAGCAGUGGUAGAGAAGCAGAGAGGAGCUCAAGUGCUAAACCAGCGGCCCAGGAGAUGCACACCUUGCUGGACAAUUAGUAAGACCUUCCUAGGGGGGAAAUCUAAGUCCAUCUAGAAAUCUGAUUUCAGCCCAGACUGUGACUUCUGCCACUGAUGGUAAUGGUCCCUGUUCAGACAUUUCUGGUAAAGGAGAGACACUGGCUUCCUUAUGGACAUUCACAUAUGCAGGAUAAAUGUGGAAUUCCUGACCAAUAGAUAUUUAUAGCUGCUCAAGGGUCAAGAAUGGGAAUCUAACCACCCAACCUAAGAUUCUCAUCUAUAAAGAGGCCACCCCACCUUACCAGCUGAGGUCACCAUCUUGAACUCAUAAAGGUUCAGAAGAGAACACAAGCCCUGUUUUCGGGUCAAGAGCUUUGGAAUCAGUCACACUUGAAUAAAAAUUCAAAUGCUUUUACUAGUUAUUAGACCUCGUGUGAUUGUCUUACUUCCCCAGAUAUAAGAAAUUGUUGUAAAACAUACCACACAUGUACCAAAAAUGCUUGGCAUCAUGUACUGUAUAUAGUAUAUUUCCAAACUGGUAGUUUUGUUAUUUGUCCUAAUAAUGCUUUUUGGAAUGACUCAUGUAUGAUUCUAUUAACAUGAACCAUCCAGAAAAACACAAGUUUCUAGACAUAGUUGAUUUCCUGGGGCUGGGGAUAUGAGCUGGGAUUGGUUGCAAAUGGGCUUAGUGAAAUUUUAUGGGAUUAACAUUUUAAAACUGUUUUGUGGUAAUUGUUGUCCAAUUCCGCAAAUUUACUUUAAAAAUAUUGAAUUGCACUUUUACAAUAAUUUUCUGGUAUAUCCCUAUAAAGC
ensembl:lncRNA